CUGUGCCACGUCCAGUGUGGACAAAAUGUAAAAUUAUAAUGGGUUCCAUUGCAGGGCUCGACAUUAAGGACAGCCUGAUUGCAACAGGGCCACUAUGGGAAAUCCUCGGGCCAGUUGAGAGGACUGUCACUUGCCCGAUCUGGCCAGUGAUGUAUCGUCAUUGAAAAUGAUAUUUGCCAAUAGCAUGGCAGGGCGAGGUGAAAGAGCCCACCCACCAGCCAACCGAUGAGAAACAUCCGCUUACCAUCAAGAUUAUCUGCGCUGCGUCAAGAUGGGCUGCGCUGCACUGCAGCUCGUAACUCUUGAGGUAGUGAAGUUUAGGUGUGUCUGUUUCUUCACGGCAUUUCAGUGAUGGAUGUUAUUUAAAGGGUGGGUAUAACGCUGGAUUUGGAGAUCAUUUGAAUCUGAUAGAUGGCGCGGUUCCAAUGCUAAAAGAUCGACAUGAACUGCAUGCGACCAGCGCCUAAGCCUUUCAGCUCCGAGGGGAAGACCGGAUACCCCGCACCGAAAUCCAUGACGACUGCACCCUCUUAAGGUGAAUACCAGAGACACGAAACUGCACUUUUCACUUAUCCAUUCUUCUAUUUUCCUACCUGACGGGUGAAGCGCAGCAGGCGUACUACUCCCUGUCCUCGUUAGACGGCAGCGACUAUGACCAUAUGAAGCACGAAAUUCUGGCCCGCGUAGGAAUUUCCCCAGUUUGUGCUGCCCAGCGGUUCCAGCAGUGGCGAUACGAAGAGAAUGCCCCUAUCCGAAUUCAGGCCGCAAAAAUGUCACGCCUGGAUCAGUUGUGGCUGAUGGCGGGGAAUCCAACAGCCACGCUGGUGGCGGAACGAGUCGUCGUGGACCGGCUGCUCCGCUCCCUGCCUAAUCAACUCAGGGGACCCGUGGGGAUGAGCGGCCUGGACACCCUUAGCGAUCUCGUCAAGGCCGUUGAGCUGGCCGAGGCAUCCUGGACGUGGGAUACAGGAGAGAGAGCCGCGGCACCACCCCGAAGGAUGGCACCACCAUGGCGACCUCCGGAGGGCACCUCAUGAUCAGUUAGCCGCCCGGUGGCCAUCUCACAUCAAGACGAACCCAUGCCCACGGAGACUCCCACAUCUCUACGGCAUGCGUGGAUGGCGGGGUGUAUAGUCCAUCUUGAGACCCCUGCGGGAGCACCAGACAUGGUAGUACACAUCAAGGGGAAGGCCGUACAUGCUGUACUCGAUUCCGGUAGCGCAGUGACCCUAGCCUAACCCUGUAUUCUGCCCCUGCUUUAGUACAUGCACAGUUUCUGUUCGGCGUAUAUACGUAUAUUGCGCUGCCCAAGUGGAAGCUUAUACAGCGAAAGUAUUUACAAAAUUGAUAACAGACAAUUGUGCUUCAUGGGGGAACCAUCCACCAAAACGGCUCGUUGUUGCUUUAAGGCCGAAGUAUGGUCCGUACGUCAGCUUUGCGCGCUUUCCGCAUGAUGCAAUUUUUUGUCAUUAGAAGGGUCCGCGGUUGUCCGCACACUCCGUCUGCGUACAGCCCAACCGCACGUGCGUGAAAAAGUUUACUAGUCCACUGGGGUCCAUACACACAUAGAAUGUGUGCAGUGUGCCGCUCAAAUCAAGAACAAUAAACUAGGAAGCAAAUCCUUCUCCAUACUGUUUCGUUGUUGUUCUUUUUUGCCUUGCUGUUUGCAAUGGCGAAUGACUUCCUUAUCAUUAAUUUGCAGUGGGUCUGUGAAUGUUGCAACUCACCGCUGCCCUCUGACGGUCUGGUACAGCAGACAUACUAAUUUGUACUGCGCAUGUGUACGCUAGCAGCUUCAAAAAAAGAAGUCAGGUGUGAACACAGACAGCUUUGUCUAUUUGUAGUGGUUCUCUCUUGAGUGGAUAAAGUAGAUGCUGAGAUUGCGAACCAGCCAGGUGGAUUAUCUACUCGUGCUCGUCUCGAAAUUUGUUCAUUAUAAUUCAUUCACUAAAGCAUGUCACGAUAACGUGCAGUGAUCCAUCUUCGUUUGCGUUACUAUCCUCCGUCCAUUCUUGUCUGCAUUAACAUUUGCUUGUUAUUUGGCGUGAGAAUUGUUUAGUUGGGCAGAGUGAGAGCCUAAAAGCGUUUGCGAAAAGCUUACAACCCUGAACUUGUGAUUGAGCAGACACCUGAAGCUAGGCUCUCUAGUGAAAGGGGAGGGGCCAUGCAUGCUCGAACACUCCAUUGCGUCAUCGAUCCACCGUUUUAGCCCCGCCAAAAACUCUUGAACAGAGAAUCGGUGAACAACUGUUUAACGGUUUAACUCCAUAAUUCAGUACUACAUGAUUUUGAGUCUUUGUAAUGUGUAUCAGCAAAACAUCUCUAACAUUAAUAAUGUGUUUAGAAACAAUUCUCAAAAUUCACUUUACCCGUUCUUUAAAUAUCUGUGCCCCAGUGUAGUUAAUUGCAGUAAACUGCCUAAAUAGCCUAUUUUAUAUUAUCUUCAAACUGGGACUAUGAAUUCAAAAUACUAUUGCAAGACCUAUAAAAAAUCCCUUAAGGGCAUUUAGGACAAAUAAAUUAAAAGGUAAAAACUAUAGAUCUCAACAUAAAAUACAAUCUUACGUGUUAUUUAGCUGCAAUGUUAUUUACCAUGUUCUUUACAAUAUGUGUACUGUCACAUGUUAUGCCUUUAAACAGAGGGAGGUGUUUCCAUCGUAUUAAUGACCGGUAGAAAAGAAUGAGCAAAAUACUUAGAACAGCCUUCAUGGUGAAACGUGGAAAAGUACUGAGGAAGUUCUUAAAUAACCUAAGAAUGAGGAGGACCUUUUUAUCUACAUGUGUAGACAAUUGAGCUGCUGUACAUCGAAUGAGUGUAAAUCUUUUGUCACAAAACCAGCAUAAAUGUAUAACAUAUGUGAGUUUUAUUUUACGCCUUUACAGGUGAGCUGUUUUAUUUCUCCAUGCUCAUUGCAACAUGACACUGAAGAACAAUGUACAACAUAGUUUGAAAGUAAGAGCUUUAGACAGAAUACGUUAAGAGGUUUAUAUUGAUAAUAUAGAAGACAAGCAAAGUGUUUCUGACGAUGCAAUACUGUUCACAUUCUGCAUUUAUGGUUUGAAAGAAUUCAGCUCACCAAGCAGAGGAAAAGGGGCAAGCUAGCAGCAUCUAGUGAGAGAACUGGACAAAAGCAGAUGCCACAAAAAAUGCUUCCCACAUCAUGCACGUACGCACACACACUUGCUCCACCUUCAUCUGCUCUUUUUUCUUAACUCAUGUUUUUCUGUCUAAUGUGGAGCACUACAGAGACUGAAAAUGUUUCUAUCUUUGACAUCUUACUCAAGAUUUGCUAAUAGCUGAAAAUGAAUGAUGACAGUAAGAAAGUACUGUGCUGGAUUUUAACUCUGACUGUGUGUCCUACCAAAGGAAAUUAUUCAAUAAUUUAUUGGAUAUAAUAUACUGGCCUGAAUUUUAUUAUCGGCAGAUACCGUUUACAUUGAAAUUGACCAUUUACUGACAUGGGCGAUAAUUUAUCGUGAAUCACUAGCUGAAACAAACCGUGGAUCACUGUAAUUUUAUCUUGACCCCACAAUUCAUGUAUCACAAACAUCAAACCACUGUUCUACAAACAUGUUUAUGAUGCUGAAUAAUAUUUAAUGUUAAGUGUAAAACCAAAAUUAUGAAAACUUAACCUACCGGCAUAAGUAAAAAGCUACUUAUUUUAAGCAUUUCUCCUAAUAACAAGAUUAAAUGGCUAACAUCUGGACCUUUGCUAGACAGCGCUUUAAGUGAUUUCAUAGAAUGGCCCAAAGAAAAACCCUUUUCAGUUCUAGUUUAUUAUAGUAAAAGUGAACUAACCUUGUUGUACUACAAACUGCAGUGGUUAACAAUGUUUUUUGCAAAACCAGCAAAAACAUGUUUAAUUUGUUUACUGGGGUUUUUAAAACCAAAAAACAUGGUUUCUAUCGUCCACUUUGAAAAAUGUAAAAUUGUUUUAAUCUAAAAUACAUAAUUAAAUCUUAAAGAUACUUUUUUUUACAUUUUGACAAAUGUUGGUUGUAUUCAGUUCAAACGUUUGUGCAGAGUUAAAAAAAGGAAAUAGGAAGUUCUACCUACGUUGUUGUUUACGGUUUCCGAAGUGGACUUAUGUAUACCCCUGUUACAUUACAUAUUGGGGUCAUAUGGCGCGAAUAAAUGUUUUUUCUUUGUCUUUGGUGUGUUGCCCAUGCAUGUAUUACACACUUAAAAUUGCUAAAAUGCAACAAAAGAUGCAUUCUUUCUAAAAGAGAAUGCGAACCCAGACCUGCCUGAAAAAAACGCCUCAUGUAACCACACCCCGGCGAAUGUACUAGUGAUUCUUUUUGAACGAAUCUUUAACAUGACUCGGUAGUAACGAGUGUCUUAGAUAGUGAUUUAUUCAUUUUGUGUUGACCGCGGAUGUGCAACUUUGUACCAGAAACAGUAAUGGUAAUUUCGUCUCUCGAGUCAUCGGGUUCGAGCCCUUCCGUUCUUUUGUCAAAUAGCUCCGCAGGCAAACAUGCAGCCUGUACCGGAGACUUCGAGUCCGAGUCUUUAACGACGUGACCGCUUCCCGGAUCAUCAGUAUGUGCUAAUAUGUUGUAUUAUAGGAAGAAAUAUUAUAAAAUGAUCAAAGAUAUGUGCAAUAAACAUAUUCUUUUAAACUUAAGUAACACUAGUAAAGUAAGUGUUUAUGUCUAAUGCAUAUAUCACACAAGUGAUCUCUUAUUAAAUAAUUGCACAUUUAAGUUGCCUAUUAAUAUAUACUUUGCUAACUGCAUGAGACUUUUUAGUAAAAAGAGCAUAUUAUUGCAUGAGUGACUCAAAAUUGUUAAUGAAUUAUAAAUACAUUACUUUACAGAAAUGCACCAAAAACAGGAGUUAAAACUGCAUGAAUAUUUAUAAGGGAAGUCAGGAUAUAAGUUAUUUUUGUAUGUAAUACAUUAAACACGCGUCAAAUCACGUGACAAAAUUAUGUCUAUAAUUAAUGCACACUUAAGUCACUUGCACUAUUGUAUAGUCUAAAUUGUUAUCUGUUCAUAACCAGCUGUACAUUAAUGUUCACAGUAUAUAGCCUUCUUUAUAUAUUGUUCUAUACCGACUGUCAUAUUUUCAUAGAACAUUCCUUCUGUAAAUUAAUUUCAUAGUACAUGCCUAUUGUAUAGUAUUUUUCCUAAUAUUGUAUUCUGUAUUUAUUCACACUGUAUAUCCUGCACUUGCUAAUUGCACGUCUGGUUAGGCCUAAACUACAUUUCGUUACACUGUACUUGUAUAUGUGUAAUGAAAAUAAAGUUGAAUCUAAUCAAAAGAACGAACGACUCAAACCCGAAGACUCGGUAGGUGAACUAAUAAUUUAUGUUUUCUGUAAAUGCAGCCUGUAUGUUUUAAUUCUCCAUGCUUUAUGGGCAAAAUAACGAAUGACUCGUGCAUGACGUCUCUAGAGUUGAGCUGUAAUCCGUUUUGUUUCUUGAACAGGUUUCAGAGUUUAUAUGAAUAUCAGGAAAUAAUUAAAUUAGGCUACAGUUUCUCAUAACUUGUCCCUAACUACAAUGUAAGUUAUUUAUUAUUAUAUAUCUGAUCAAAACUAGCAUAUAUAAACGUCAUGUGGUAAUUUGGCUUUUAACAUGCAACAUUCAUUUAACUCUGCUCAGAUGAAUGAAAUGAGUCGGAAAAAGAUUCGUUCAUUUUGCUGAAUGAGAUUCAAAUAUCCGAAUCGCAAAAAUGAGUCGAACUUCCCAUCACUAGAAUGUACGUCACUUCGUAACAUCAUUUGACUAAGACCGCUCAAAUCUGAUGUAUGUGAGGUGGUGAGUUGAGUUUGUCGUGUGUUUGUGAUCUGCAAAUGUGGACACGUGCGCAACGUGAAAAAGGACAACAUAAGUCAUAAUAAUCAUUAAUAAUGUUCCAACUAGAGUCAACAAAUGUCGUGUUUAUAAUAUAUUUUUAUUUAGUCUUAUUUUGGUUAUAUUGUCUUUGUUGUGUAGCGACGAGACGUGGCGUAACACUGUUCCACCAGGGCCAAUUAAAGAGCUCGCCUUAUUUAUUAUGUUACCAUUCCCUGCUGUUAUGUGAGCUUGUUUCUAUCUCACACAAACUCUGUAUGAUGUAUAUGGUUGUGUGUUUAUAGUCGCGCUGGCAAAGAUUAUGUAUCGACUUGAUCAUCUUCAUUUUCCACAUCAGAUUUGGGCUCGAAUUGAUAUAAGGAAAUUCCGAUGACAUUUUAUCACAUGUUAGUACAAUUGUUUAGGAACAUGAUUAUCCGAAUAUAGUAGUAUAGAGGCGUUACAUUUCCCUCACACUCUUGCAGGGCGCUUUCUCCCUGUCUAUCAUUUUCAAACGCGUUCAACAGAAAAGCUAAUCAGUGUCAGUUGUUAGUUUUUCGUUUCAGAACGGUAUUCUUUACGGUUGCUUAUGACAACAAGCGGCUCAUUACUUAUGAGGUCAGUGUAUGUUCAAUGUCGAGGUUUUCUUUUCUUUUCUUACCUUGUUUUGGACACUGAAAUUACUUGCUGCCUUGUACUGAAGCAAACUCCAGCAGUAGCCCCUCUACAGCUUCGCGCCGGCGGAGACGUGUUUUUAAAGGCGGCUCGGUUGGUGUGUAAAUGUUUAUGUAAAUGAUUCCGAAAUUGCAUACUGCCAUACUGUAUAGUAGGCAAAAAGCAGUAGGCGAACGAAUAGUACGUACGAAACCUCGGUCUACAUAAAACAGUAGGCGAGAAUUUCCUGGCUGGUGCACUUUUUCUCACAAGAUUUGGAUAUGAGUAUACUACGGUUUCGUCCGAAUUCGCCUACUUACCUACUAUUUAGUAUGAGAAAACAGAGCAGUAUGUCCGAAUCCUCAGUAUUCAUAAAAGAGUAGGUGAGAAAUUCCCGGAUGGCUUACUGGUUACUCCCACAUUCUGAAGUACCCAGCAACAGAUACUUGGGAUACUUGUCUAUCCCAUGAGCCCACGGGACAGGAUAAGUUCAUACAGGAGCAUGGCGCAGAACUGCGAGGCAGGUGUUUUCAAAUGUGAGUAUUACUAUCCAACAACGUGUUUCUUUGCGUUGCAGUCGAAUUGGUUAAAGUGCUAUAGCGUAAAGUUAACAUGUAAGAUCCUACGUAGUUAAGUAUAUUUGGGAUUUUGCUGUGAAAAUGCGGCAUUUAAUAUGUCUAGCUUAAAGGAGCGUUCCACGCACACACGUGUAUUCGAAGUAGACAUAACGUUACAUGUAUUAAAACCAUACGCAUGUUAAAGACGCUUUUAAUGUCUGUGUAACAUGUGACCUGUCAUUUUGUCGAUAACCUGAAAUACACAACAUGAAAUACACAUCACAGUAACGUAGCUUACGUCUGUGAAUAUGUGGUACAGAGCAUUAUUCACUGCUUGCAUAGAUACAUAUACGUAAAUUAAAUAAACAAUUUAUUAUUUAUUACAAUUGUUCAUUAGUGCUGUUGAUGAAUUCAGGAAAUUUGAGUUGAACAAACAGCGGGUACACAUAUGUGCAACUACCUCCAUACUUAAAUGCAGUAUUGAGCACAAAUCACAGAAGUAACUUGAAUCUUGUUUGACUGUUACAGGGACAGAUGAGCAAACUCGUUAAAGUCACGUAGGGUCGGAUCCAAUGGACGAGUGGUUUGUGCUCCGAUAUAUGGCGCCGGUGGGUCCCUGGCGACCCGAGUUCGAGUCCUGGCUCGUGGUCCUUUCCCAGACCCCAACCCCUCUCUGUCAUCCACUUCCCUUCCUGUCCUCUCUGAAAUAACUGUCUGUCCAAUAAAGGUAAAAACGGCAAAUAAAUGAUCGCGACGGUGGUCAGCUGCGAGAUGGUAGUAGGAUGUGGACUUCAACACCUGUAGAUACAAGAUAAUUUGUUUAAAAAUAUAAUAAGGAUUGGUCAGCACUUAUCAAUAAUAUUGUGUAUUUUCCUGAGUACUCCAAGUCUUCAAGGGUUCUCAAAGUCUUCCCUGGAAGAGACAGGUAUUUCUUGUGGUGUUAAACAAGCAUCAGUUGAGCUGAGAAAGUCACACAACCGAGUCCUAAUUAAUAUUUUAAAGGUUAUAUAUUCAUGUUUCUUUUUAAAGUUGAUAUUUUCCACAGUAAAAUUAUUGCAAUUUAAUGUACAGUUAAAAUCAUGUUGGAAAUGGAAGUAGUAUGUGUUCUUAUAGUACUUAUGAUUCACAGAGACAUGUGUAAGCAAAGCUCUAAACCACUGCAGGUCUGACUUUGACUAAAUGCUUGAGCCCAAUUCAGUGACCCAUUCAAAGGUAAGUAAUCAAAAUUGUUGAAUAGUCUUUAGCAAAACAUUAUAUUUAUUAAAUUUUCAUAUCGCAGGAGUCAGCUCAUCCAAACUUCUGUAAUGACAUAUAUUUUUACACAUGAGAGUGACCAAAAACUUUUGUGCUAAAACUUAUUUCUUUACUUUUUCCAUUGUCCCUGUAUAGGGCUCAUAUGUUUCUUUUCUGUAGAGCUGCUUUGCAACAAUGCAAAAUUGUGAAAGGUAUUAAUAUAUACAAAAUAUAUUUAAUGUUGCUUGACAUUUAAGGAUGCUACCACUAGGAAAUAAAAGUAUUACUUGCUUAUUGUUUUUAAAAGGAAAUAGAAAAUGAUAAAUAUAUAUAAAAUUAAUUAAUUAAUAAAAAAUCCUCAAUUAAAACCACUCCGUUCUUCUGAUAAAGAAAUGGUUUUUAAAACUAGACUGGCUAAAUUUAUGACAAAACGAUGGUAAUCCAAUGCACAAACACGGCAAAUUCAGAUAAACUAAGACAAUGACUCUAGACAAAUUAUUUUACCCAAGAACAGGCAAAACGAACCACCACAGUACGGAAAACACAAGGGCAUUAUAUAGGGACCAAAUCAAGAGAACAGGUUUGGGGCAUAAACUAAUUAAAAAUCAAUAAUAAGGAAACGAGAGGGCGGGGACAUAGACGAGACUCAAGAGAGCGCGCAGUAUGCCAUAUCAAGUAAUACCAGGUCUCUCUCACUCUAAACUGUGGAUCUGUCAUGAUUCUGCCACACUACUCAGAAACGAUGACCAGAAAAAGCAGAAUCAUGAUAUAGCCCUUUUCAAGGCGUUUCUUUUGAGGAACCUUAUUAAAAUUGUUCUGUAUAGCACCAAAAAGGGUUCUGCUAUUGCCACUAUUUAGAACCCUUUUUCUGAAGAGUGUAUGUUUAAAAACAAUGGGUUUUGGGUAAAUCCCCUGAAAUAAAAUCUGUAGCUAACAGCACAUCUUAAUAUUUUCACGUUUUAAUCUUUGACAUAGAACACACCAGUUAUUCCCCACUGAUAAUUAAACUUAAUUUUGUCUUAAAAAUGGCGGUUGCUAACAAGCUGCUAAAAGUGACUACAUCCUUUGGGGGGAAUGUUAGAUGUAAUCGCUCAUAUAUAGUAAAUCUCACAAAUAAUGCAACAUGGGCACAAAUAAAAAAAACAUGGCUAGGGAUUCAUUCAUGCAGUAAUUACUGACCAAGAAACACUUUUUAGUAACGUUUGAAAAGCUGUCAGAGGCUUGGUGGUGGUGACGUUUACUGUAUAUAUCGAGCGACUGAAGUGUAGUCUGUUUAUAGCCUCAUGUUUUUUUCUUCUGGCAAUUGUAUUUAGGCCUCAAAAGUGACAAAUGUUGUGUAAAUUUGUUAAGAUUAUCUUGAUCAUCUUAAUGUAAACAUUAUAAACCUUUGUUAAUCACAGAUCCUAUUUUUUGUAAUCUUCCAAAAGUCUAUGGGAAAAUGCAAAGGCUUUCAGUUCUGAGAUCCAGUGAGGCUAACUUCCAUGAUGGACUACAAAAAUACGUCAUCUCUGCACCACUCCAUUCUAGGCAAAAGGAUUUUUUUUAAAUACCAAAAUGAAAACUGCUUUUUGUCAAGGUCAAAUGGAGCAACUUCUACAAGUAGCAUCGUCAGACAUGCAAAGCAAUCAAUAGCAUCUCAUCACACUUUUCAUCAAAUUUUUUAGAUCUGUGUAAAAUAUGUAAUGAUUACUCAACAGGUUAUGAGCAAUCUAUGGUUGUGCCAUCUGAAACUAUUAUUUUUACUGUACACAUAUAGCCUACGUUUAGUCAUUAUGUAGUGUGCUAUGUAGUGUGCCAUUAGUGGUGAUUUUAAGUGUUAUUUAAGUACAGCAAAUAGCAGAUUUUAUUAGUCAUUUUGGGUUUUACUUUUCACAGCGACCAAAUUAUCUGGUCAAUUUUAUAUAACUUUCUUUUACAGAUCUUUUAUUUGUUUCUCUUUAAUUUCCUCUUUAAGAAUUUUAGGAGAAACAUCUCAUUAUACGUUGACAAAUAUGCGAGAACUCGACUAGAUGAAGAACAACCAAUUUGUUUUUUCUUGCUCAGCACUUUCAAAGUUGCCAUUCAAAUCUUCAUACAACAAAAGUGGAUCAUAAAAAAUGCUUCAUCUCCAUUUUUUUCACAGGACUAAAUUUAUCACAAGUAGACAUUGAAUUACCAUAAAUCAUAGUCGGUUGAUUUUCUCAGAGAGAUUACACGGCUGAGUAACCUUUUAAUUACCAACUGUUGUCAAUUAGCAUUGUUGAUGACAUAUAAAGUAUGAGCAUGUUCAAAAUAUUUUUGUGUCUGUUUAUUUUUCCUAAAUGUUGACUUAAUGCAUGUAUUGUAAGGGUCUUAGUAUUAGAUUCCUGUGAAAAUUAGAUUCCUUUUUUUAUAUUUAAUAAGAUUUUCAAGUUUCUGAAAGGAUGUAGAUUACGUCUCACAAAAAGGAAAUUCUCACUCAAAGCGAAUGUUAGCCAUAGUUUGUAAUAGUUUAUGGUGCUGCCUGCUGACACUUCACUGAUCCGAGGCCAGGCUGAGAGCAAUGGUGUCACAGAGGAGAGUCAUCGUCAGGGUGAAAGGGUUCUCAUGCCGUGGAGGUAAAUGGGUUUGCCACACAACCUGUAUCUUCCCACUGCAUCUAAUGGGAGAGGAGUGUGGUGUUGCCAUGGAAAGCUGUAAUGCAACAUACUUUAAAACACAUACAUCCAUGUAUGAUCAGGAACAUGAGUGCUAACACCUUUACAUUUUACAGAUUGUAUUUUUGAUUACAUGCUCACCAUCAGAGCAUUUUGAGUAGCACAGUUCCAUUUAAAUAUGAUGUUCUUUUAUAUAGUGUUUAGUAUUGAAUUUAAUGGUUUCAGAAGAUGUCUAAAUUGAUAUUAUGAGCAUGCAACAUUAUGGAAUCCUACUCUCUGUAAUGGUGUUUCAAUAGUGUUGAAGCUUUAUACAACCCUGCCUGCAUCUGCAGUCAAACCACCUAUUCUUAACAGUAUGCACACGUUAAAUAACCGUGCAUGUUUGUGAAAAGAAAAGAGAAUAUGAACAAUUUCACCUCACUUCCCUCUUAGAAUCAAACCAAACUUCCGGAAUUGAAGGUCUCUACACUACAAACGAUGAUCCCCAAAAUGGCUCUGUUAUUACAAUGUUUCAUUCCACUAUAAGCUGCAAAGUGCUGCUAUUGGUUUUGCUGUUUUAAUGUGUGCAGGUGGUGCUCCAUAACCGUUUUUUAUGAUGGCAGGGAUCUGCAGUCAAGUGGACACAAAUUGAUGUCUGCCUUUUCUCCUUUCACACUCCGUUAUAUAUACACAUGCACAGACACGCAGAUACUGGGUUGCCUUACAAAGGAUGCCUGCCAGACAUCACCAAACCAGUUCACAAAAGAUUCUUGACUUGAUUCUCCUUUACCAUAUCAAUCCCUCUGGCAGCACCAGUUCUUUGUCUUCUAGGAGAUUCAAAUCGGUGGAUUGACACAUUUUGUAAUUUUCCACCACGCCUAACUAACAAGAAGACAGGGACAAAUGUAAAAGCUACAAAGUAUUCUGCUGUUUUUUGUUUAUCAGUGAAACUCUAAUUUUUUCCUCUGUUUGUGCAAUGACAGUUCGCCGAUUGGACUUGACAUGCAGUGUUUUCCAAUUAGUGAUUCCAGAGAGACAGAGAAGUCUACACAUGGCACUUGGUGGAGCCAGUGGCUUUGGCUUCAGGAGAACAGAUGAGCAGAGAUCUGUAAAGCUUGUGGGGAUGCUUGGGCUUUAAAUGUGCAGAGGAACUCAUUUGAAUGCAAUGAAAGCACUGAAGGAUCGGUGGUAAAGCUAAUCAGGGAGAUGUCUUCUGUUGGCAAUGUAUAGCCUUUCUUAGACUGUGACAUUUCUAAUAUUUCAUUUUAGUCUAUUUCCAAGCAAAACACGUAUAUAUUUGCAAAUAUAUCAAACAGGAAAUAAUAAUAUAAAAACUGAAGUGCAUUAAAAUAAUUAUUCUAGUAAUAAAGGGAUUUGCCGUCAUGUUAAGAGGCGUUAACAUAUUGAUAUAUCAAUAUAUAUACAAGAACAGACCGCUGUGCCACACCGCUUGUUUACAGUGUUUACAAUGGCACAUAACACUAGACCUGCUAUGAAUCUUGCAUACUUAAGAAAAUCCGCUGAUUAGCUGAUCUUGAUUUAAGCUUUCUUCUUCCAUCAGAUGGCUUUGCUUUAUUUGUUAAAUGAUGUUAAAAAGAAAUUGGUUUAUUUGUAAAAAAAAACAGAUGACCACUUCGAAACUGUUAAGUGAUUCCAGUUUUGUGUACUAUAUGCAUCAUGCAUUCAGCCAGAAAUGUGGAAGUGACAUUUUUAAAUUUGGAGGGAUUAUAUAUCUUAAUACUGUCUUCUCUGAUGAGAGGAUUUAGAACAACUACCCUUUAACCGAUAUGAGCAACAGUACAAAAAGAAAGAGAAAUUGAGUGAUGGAAACUUCAAAAAGUUUUUGAAAAACAUUUGAGUAUUCUUACUUUAGAAUGAACAGGCUAAACACCAUAGUUGAAACUAAGCUUUGAAGACCAGCAGCAUUACAUGCAUAGCACAUGCUAAAAGCUAUGUGUUUUAUGCAGUAUUUUAACUGCAGUCAAGAGAGGAUUAUAAUGGGUCUGACAUCAGAUAAUUGAAACAAAUUCAUUGACUAAGACAGAAGACAGACCUGACAACCGGUGUGGAAUUGUGGUUACAAAUUUUGCCAGGGAUCCAUGAGCCAUCGUCAUUAUGCCUUUAAAGCAGGGGUCUUCAACAUUUUAUCGGGACAAGGACCCCUUAGAUGAGAGAUGCAUGGAGCAAGGACCCCCUUAUACUAAAUGUGUAAACAGAGCUAUUUAAAUAAAAAUAACAACAAUUGUUACGGCAAUAUUAUGUCAAGACAUCACAUUAGCCCUAUUGUGGAUGUUAUUGCUGCACAUACAUGCUUUUCUGUGUAUUAUUUUUGUUGUUAAUAUAGAUUGUUUGAUUAUUUUAAGGGAUUUGCAGCAUCAUACUGUAGUAGAGUAGGCGGGGCGAGACCGUGGUUCGAGUCCGGUGAGUAAUUGUGAAUUAGCGCCAGCUGUGCGCACACCGGGCUCGAAUCACGUAGGAGAUUGGGAGCAUAUAAAAGGAACGAGCGACCGGACCGUCGAAGAGAGAGGACCGGGCCCGAACUUAUGUUAAGUUUAUAUUUAUGUUGUUGUGUUUUGUAUUUAUGUUUUGUUCGCCGGCGGUCAUCCGUGAGGGGCCGCCGGCUGUUAUAUUACUUUAUUAAAUGUUUAAAUGUU